rnacentral:rRNA from 1 species
ACGGCGAGUGAAGCGGCAAAAGCUCAAAUUUGAAAUCUCCGUAAGGCGAGUUGUAAUUUGAAGAAGCAACUUUGGAAUGGUCCCUUGUCUAUGUUCCUUGGAACAGGACGUCACAGAGGGUGAGAAUCCCGUGCGAUGAGGUGCGCCAUUCCAUGUAAAGUGCUUUCGACGAGUCGAGUUGUUUGGGAAUGCAGCUCUAAGUGGGUGGUAAAUUCCAUCUAAAGCUAAAUAUUGGCGAGAGACCGAUAGCGAACAAGUACAGUGAUGGAAAGAUGAAAAGCACUUUGAAAAGAGAGUGAAAAAGUACGUGAAAUUGUUGAAAGGGAAGGGCUUGAGAUCAGACUUGGUGACUCGUCACUGGGCCAGCAUCGGUUUGGGUGGUAGGAUAAUACCGUUGGAAUGUAGCUCAUUUCGAGUGUUAUAGCCUGCGGAGAUACUUACCUAUCUAGACCGAGGACUGCGGCAACUAGGAUGCU